CAGGAAGUAGGUCUCUUUCUGAGGGGAAGGACGCCAGCGACAGCCAAGGGUUAGUGCCUGAGAGACUGUUGGCUGAAGAGUUGGAAAUUCGGUAGACAGUAUGCAUUGGUAAAGUGUCUGCACUGUGGACCUUAUAGUUCUGUGUGAGUCUGGGCUCACUCAUCAGUCAGUGGAUAUCCAAGUCAACAUUUGUCCUGGCUGGUCUAGGCAACCACAGUCCUGGUCCAACUUCAGGAUUCGCCCAAGGACCAGUAAAAUCAUGAAGAGGAGGAGGAAGAGGAGCUGAAGAGGCUCAACUUACCAAGGAGUCUGGAUCUGGUGAG